CUGGAGCUCGCGCAGCCGACGCCUCGCCUGGAGCUCGCGCAGCCGCCUCGCCUCGCCUGGAGCUCGCGCAACCGCCUCGCCUCGCCUGGAGCUCCCGUAGCCGCCGCUGUUGAGGGAAAGACUGUUGAUAAGGGUACCCCUGGUGACUCCAUUGAUACCAAGCCUAUGUCCAACUUAGGGAAGAGGAAGAGGUACAUGACUGAUGAAGAUGUUGCUGUGUUCAAUGGGAUGAAAGAGGCUGUAUCUGAUGUUGCUGCUGCUGUCCGUGAAAGCAUCCAUGCUGAAGCAGCACCUGGGAUCUACAAUGCUGUAAUCAACUGUCCUGGGUUCUCUAGGGAGGCUCUCAUGUAUGCCCUAAACCACAUGAUGGAGCACAAGGCCACCUCCCUGGUGUUCCUGGACAUGACUCCUGAUGAUCGUGACCUAUGGCUCAAGACUUUCCUAGCCAAGCACUACCACAACCGAUCUGAUCUGUCUAUCCUAUUCCUAUAUAAUGCUUAA
rnacentral:misc_RNA from 1 species